GGUAAAUAUUACAUUGACAAAUGUUUACCAAUGGGUUGUGCAAUGUCAUGUAAUCUGUUUGAAAAGUUUUCAACAUUUUUACACUGGCAACUACAGAAACAGACAGGUAUUGGCACGAUUUAUCAUUAUCUGGAUGAUUUCUUAUUUAUUGGAAGAGUAGGUACUCAAGAAUGUUCACAUUUAAUGGAAGAGUUUCAGAAUUUGUGCAGUUUGGUGGGUGUACCGUUAGCAAAUGAAAAAACAGUAGGGCCAUCUAAAAGCAUUAUAUUUUUAGGUUUAGAAAUAAAUACGGUUGAUAUGGUUGUAAAAAUUCCUCUAGAAAAGGUAAAACAGUUGAAAUCUAUGCUAAAUAUGGCCCUUAUUAAAAAGUCAUUACAGUUACAAGAAGUACAAAGCAUAGUUGGAAGCUUAAAUUUUUUCAGCAAAGGUGUGCCAAAUGCAAGAGCAUUCAACAGAAGGUUUUAUGAUGCUACUUGUGGGGUAACAAAAGAUCAUCAUCAUAUCAAAAUCACAAAUGAGUUUAGGGAAGAUGUUAAAACUUGGUUACUUUUUUUUUUUUUUUUUUUUAGAACAGUUCAAUGGUGUUAGACUCUUGCAUGAGAGUGAUUGGCUGAGUAACGAAAAUAUGAAAUUGUUCACAGAUAGUACAGGCAAUCCAGAUUUGGGAUGUGGGGCAUACUGGGAAGGUAGAUGGGUUUUCUGGCCUUGGCAACAAAAUGGGAUUUAGGUAUUUUUAAAGAAAUGUCAUUUUUGGAGCUGGUGCCCAUUAUAUUAGCUAUUUACAUAUGGGACGAAAUGCUCUUUAAGAACAAGAGGAUCAUAAUGUACAUUGACAACAAUGCACUGGUGUCAAUUAUUAACAAACAAACAUCAAAAUCAAAAAGAAUCAUGUUUUUGAUAAGAAAGUUGGUCCUUAUACUGUUAAAAAACAACAUAGUAUUCAAGGCAAAACAUAUAGCAGGUACACAAAAUAGUAUCGCAGAUGCACUGUCACGUAAACAGUUUAAAACAUUUCAGGAAUUGGCUCCACAAGCAAACAAGAUACCAGAAAAAAUACCAGUAGAAUUUCAGCAGUUGAUGUUAGAAAUGAAAACAACAGGUAUGGGUAGUGGGCUCAUCAAUAGUCAAAAGAGCAUUUUUAGCAGCUAGAAUCAGACCAGAUGGAGUUAACUUGGGACUAAUGGAUAGAUUAAAUGUGUCUAUUUGGUGGCAAGGAAAAGGGGGUAUGGGCUGGUAUGAAAUGUACAACAAGAUCAAAACAUUGCUGAAAGUUGCUGACCCUCCUGAUUACAUUAUUCUACAUUGUGGUGGUAAUAAUAUUGGGUACACACCAAUCAAACAGCUUAUACAAGAUAUGAAAGGUACAAUUGACAAAAUUUGGAAACUUUUACCCAAUACAAAGCUUGUAUGGUCACAAAUAUUGCCUAGAAAGAACUGGUAUUCAUCAGAUAGCAUAGAAAAAAUGAA